rnacentral:rRNA from 1 species
GAACGCUGGCGGGAGGCCUAACACAUGCAAGCCGAGCGGUAGAGAUUCUUCGGAAUCUUGAGAGCGGCGUACGGGUGCGGAACACGUGUGCAACCUGCCUUUAUCUGGGGGAUAGCCUUUCGAAAGGAAGAUUAAUACCCCAUAAUAUACUGGAUGGCAUCAUUCGGUAUUGAAAACUCCGGUGGAUAGAGAUGGGCACGCGCAAGAUUAGAUAGUUGGUGAGGUAACGGCUCACCAAGUCUGCGAUCUUUAGGGGGCCUGAGAGGGUGAUCCCCCACACUGGUACUGAGACACGGACCAGACUCCUACGGGAGGCAGCAGUGAGGAAUAUUGGACAAUGGGUGAGAGCCUGAUCCAGCCAUCCCGCGUGAAGGACGACGGCCCUAUGGGUUGUAAACUUCUUUUGUAUAGGGAUAAACCUACUCUCGUGAGAGUAGCUGAAGGUACUAUACGAAUAAGCACCGGCUAACUCCGUGCCAGCAGCCGCGGUAAUACGGAGGGUGCCAGCGUUAUCCGGAUUUAUUGGGUUUAAAGGGUCCGUAGGCGGAUCUGUCAGUCAGUGGUGAAAUCUCACAGCUUAACUGGGAAACUGCCAUUGAUACUGCAGGUCUUGAGUGUUGUUGAAGUAGCUGGAA